GCAUCAAGAAUCACAAGAGCUACCACUGUUUAGUACUUGCCCUGUGCUGGGUGCCUGGCCAGGGGCUUUUACAUACGUAUCUCAUUUAAUCCUGUCAUCUCAAUGAUGUGAGCUCUGUCACCAUCCACAUUUGAUAGAGGAGGAAAUGAAGCCACAGAGAGGAAGAUUUUUCUCAAGGUCACAUGGGAAGGAAGGGUCCAGGCCAGGGUGCAAGCCCAGACAGUCUGGCUCCGGGUCUCAAACCCAUAACCACCGUGGCUGGGAUCUGCAGAGCUGAAGCCCCCGCUGCACCUGGGAGAAGCCACUCCAUUCAGGCUGGAGGGGCUCCCACGACAGUCAGCUCUUGGGGGGACUGUUGAAGGCAGGGUUUGGGGGUUGGUGGAGGUCUUGCCAUGUCACUAGGAGGGAUGCCCCAAAAGGACAGUCCUAGGAAAUCUUCCAGUGGGCACCAGGGUGGAUUGCUGGGAUUCCGUGGUGUGAUUUGAGGACAGAGGGACAGGGCGAGGGCUUCUUUGGUGACCAAUCCUUGCUCCUGACCCACUGGGAGAACCAGGGCAGGAUUAGAAGGUAUCAAGUACUUCUACCCACCCUGUCGCCAUGGAGCCUGACCCUGCCCCAGGCUCAGCCGCAGCAAUCCCCCACCCACCUGGUUACCCAGAGAAGACACCUCCAGCCCCCUGGCCCCCCAGACGGUCCACCCUGGGCCAACUGCAACAGUUCUCACGACUAUCCCCCUUUCUCUAGCCUCUUUAUCCAGCUUCUUAUCACAAACCACCCUCCCCUCUCACCUGGUGACCCCAGCAUCUUCCUCACGGGCUUGCCUGCUUCUACCCUGGCCACCUCUUCCUGGAAGGGUGCCUACAUUUCAUUGCUGCCUACCCCCUUCACUGUCUCCUGCUACUCAAGAUAACACAAGAUCCUAAAAUCCCAUGUGAUCCACAACCCUGUCCCAGCCCCCCAAGCUACAUCUUAUCCUGCCACUUCAGGCUCGAUCCAUCCCAUCACACUGGCUCCUUUUAGGUGCCACAGGGCCUUUGAAUGUGCCAUUUCAACUGCCAGAAAACUCCUCCCCCAUCUCUCCUCUGCCCCUUACCUAUUGAACUCCUUCUGGUUUUUCCAGCAAGCAGCUCAAUCCUCAGGAAAGCCUUCCCUGAUCUUUACUCUAGGUCAGAGGUCCCUGUAAUCAUGAAAUUUAUCACAAGGAGCAAUUAUGUAGAUUGCACAAAGGAAUGGCUGCUGAUAAGGCCUUGCAAUCAGGCUGCCUGGGUUCAAAUCUAGGUCCACCCUGGGGCAAAUGCUUUAACCACACAGCGCCUUGGUUUACUCACGAGUAAAGAAGAGAUUAAGAUAAUAAAGGUGGCUGCUUCCUAGGAAGAAGAAAUGUGUCAAGGGUUGCAGAAGCCUCCAGGCCUCCAGGGUGCAGCCCGUCCCCUCUAGCUAGUGUUAAAAAUCAAUUAGGAGCCGGGUGUGGUGGCACCUGCCUGGAAUCCCAGUGGCUCAGGAGGCUCAGGUAGGAGGAUUGCAAGUUGGAGGCCAGCCUCAGCAAAGGUGAGGCGCUGAGCAACCUAGUGAGACCCUGUGUCUAAAUAAAAUACAAAAUAGGGCUGGGGAUGGG
rnacentral:lncRNA from 1 species